GACGAACGCUGGCGGCGUGCCUAAUACAUGCAAGUCGAGCGGACUUUCAAGAAGCUUGCUUUUUGAAAGUUAGCGGCGGACGGGUGAGUAACACGUGGGCAACCUGCCUGUAAGACGGGGAUAACUCCGGGAAACCGGGGCUAAUACCGGAUAAUAUCUUUCUUCGCAUGAAGGAAGGUUGAAAGGCGGCGCAAGCUGCCGCUUGCAGAUGGGCCCGCGGCGCAUUAGCUAGUUGGUGAGGUAACGGCUCACCAAGGCGACGAUGCGUAGCCGACCUGAGCGGGUGAUCGGCCACACGGGGACUGAGACACGGCCCAGACUCCUACGGGAGGCAGCAGUAGGGAAUCUUCCACAAUGGACGAAAGUCUGACGGAGCAACGCCGCGUGAGCGAAGAAGGUCUUCGGAUCGUAAAGCUCUGUUGUCAGGGAAGAACAAGUACCGGUCGAAUAGGGCGGUACCUUGACGGUACCUGACCAGAAAGCCACGGCUAACUACGUGCCAGCCGCCGCAGUAA
rnacentral:rRNA from 1 species